ACAAGUUUUCUCUUUCCUGGCCUCAUGUUGUUCAAAACACUAUGAUUGAUCUUUGAUAUUUAUGUUACAAGUUUCGUUUACUUCAUGUUGCUGAUACCUAUUACUCAUUUGAAAGGUUGAGCUCACAAAGAUAUAGCGAAUUGUUAAUGCAAUUAAAUGGUUGAUAAAUUGUUAGAUAGGAAGACAUCAACAUAAAUGCACAUAAGCUGUCAAGUGCAUUAGACUUACCAAUUGCGGUGACAAUUACACUAAAGAUAACUCUUCUUCUGUGUCUCAUCAUAAGUUCCUUCCUUGCUGAAUUACCAGUCAUCUUUCCCAAAUGAAAAGCAGAGUGGGAAAUCCUAUUCCUAUGGUUGCAUUCCGGCUCAGGGAAUACAUCUGCAAUUGCGGAAAAUAGAAGUGCACCAGCAAAAAACUGCAAAGAACAUGCUAAAAAGUAGGAAAUGAAGGAGGCCUAACUGUUUCAAGUCCAGCUAAAAAGUGAAAGGAGGGAAGGUGGAGUAAGCAGGGCGCGGACGUGACAGAAAGGACUCCAGUGGUGCGCACUUAUAGAGUAGUAGAUUAACUGUUGUGUGCUGCGUGCCAUGCAUAGCCGCUGAGGAGGAAUACCCUAUGCGUCACAAAGGAGGAGAAAGCAUAUGCAAUCCAACCGCCUGAAGGAAGCACUCCUUGUAAGUAAAGAGAAGAAAAGUAAAGCAAAGCAAGAUGGACAUGCUACGUAGCAGGAGUGGCGGCGCACGUGGAGGGGAGGCGGCUGAGCAUCUGGCGGUCGGCGCCGGAGAUGAGCGGGCCGGCGAUAAGCAGGCAGAGGCAGGGCUGCCCGCACACGGGAUCAUCAGCUGCAGCAGCGCGCCCAGGUAAUUGUAGCUGCUACUGCCACAACUGCCACAUGCUUCUGCUCCUGCUGCUGCUGCGCUUGAUUCUCUAACCUGGUAGUACAGCAUUACAACUAGUAACCAUAAGAACAAGACUUGUUUCUUGCCACGUCGCUGCUGAAUCAUCCCAAAACAAAUGCAGCCUUACACAUGCUUCUGCUCCUGCUCCUGCUGCGCUUGAUUCUCUACCUGGUAGUACAGCAUUACAACUAGUAACCAUAAGAAAGACUUGUUUCUUGCCACGUUGCUGCUGAAUCAUCCUGCUCCUGCUGCGCUUGAUUCUCUACCUGGUAGUACAGCAUUACAACUAGUAACCAUAAGAAAGACUUGUUUCUUGCCACGUUGCUGCUGAAUCAUCCCAAAACAAAUGCAGCCUUA